rnacentral:antisense_RNA from 1 species
UGUCAUGGCGGCUGUGCGUGGGAGAUCUUCGGGAUCUGCCGGGUUUCCUAUCUUGCCCCGGUCUUGCACACCUGCGUACAGCUGCCACCCUA